CUGAUUUAGAGUAGGAAAUCAGCAGAAAUCAUUAUUAGAUUAAUGUGAGAAAGUGGGUCAAGGCCUCAGGGACAUAGAAAGUGCAGCUUCUCAGCAAGGAAGACAUGGCAAAGCUGGGCCACUGCCUAAGUUCUCAGGACCUUGUACGGCAAUGACCUUCAGUACACACUGCACAAAUCCGUUGAAUGAACAAGCUGAGAUGAAGGAUGCGUUUUGCCAGGAGAGACUAUCGGUUUAGUCUGAUCCACAGUGAACUUGGAGAGCUACUGUGGUCACAGUGUCUCUUCACGGCAAUUCAACAGUGACUAAGACACCUGUAUUGGCAUUUUUGUCUCAACCUACACUCUGGG
rnacentral:lncRNA from 1 species